rnacentral:tRNA from 1 species
GCCUCGGUAGCUCAGUCGGCAGAUCGCGUGCCUUUUAAGGCCGUGGCCGCGGGUUCGGGCCCCGCCCGAGGUG